UACGAACCGUCCAAACGUUAUUCGGAAUCACUGGGCUUAAAGAGUCCGUAGGCGGCCAAUUAGGUGAGGUGUGAAAUCCCCCGGCUCAACCGAGGAAUUGCGCUUCAAACCAACUGGCUAGAGGAAGAUAGAGGAAAGCGGAACUGAUGGUGGAGCGGUGAAAUGCGUUGAUAUCAUCAGGAACACCGGUGGCGAAAGCGGCUUUCUGGGUCUUUUCUGACGCUGAGGGACGAAAGCUAGGGGAGCGAAC
rnacentral:rRNA from 1 species